rnacentral:lncRNA from 1 species
ACAAUGAAAAUGGGUGUUUGACAUCUUCCCAGAAGCGGCACAAAAAGACAGCAAAAUCAGGCUGGUAAAAUGCUGAAUAAACAAAUGAAAGCGUUUGGUCUGAAUGUGAAUGACUCGAAGGGAGAAGGGGCCCGAGGAGACCUCCUCCGGGGAACGAUGGACAUCUCAGAAUUGAAGUUAAGGCUAUAGGUGGGAGGCGGGCGCCACCGUGCACAGGGGUGAGGGAGUUGUCUUAGCAAAAUCUGUCAUGCGGGCCUCUGGGGACUGUCAGGAGAGGAUCUGUGUCACCUGCCGAUUCUACCUCACUUCAGUCCAUGCCAGGUGGCGAGAGCGCAGGUGUGAGAAGAUAGGCCGGCCAAAGAAACCAGGAGGUUGCGGGGAGCCCGAGCCACAGGUGGGGGCCACUGUUAAGGCCAGGGAGGUUCCUCCUACCGCCAGCUUCCUGCGGCGACCCCCCAGUCCAGGUGGACCGGCCAACCACUAGCCACACAGGCUCGAGGCACGGGCCACGCCGUGUGCGGGGAACUGAACCACAGGCGGCUAACGCUAGCGCACAGCCCCAAGUCGACCAAUUGCCAGUGCGUGGGGCACUCACUACGGAGCCCAAGGCUCUGCCACAUUCAGCCACUGUCCUGGGCCCCUGGCCCUCGGUGGCAGCGUUUGUGAGGGUUCUCCAAACCAGCGAGCCCUCUCGAAAGAGUUUUGUUUAAAUAUGAAAGAGACUUAGUCCCAAGACAGUGGACACCGACGCUGCACAUGGAUGUAAUUCCCUCGUCUUCCAUUAAGCUCCAGAGGCCCUGUCGUUCUGCCUACUUCUGAAUUUUCACUUUUAUUCACUGUAAGUCUAAUCUAAAGUGUACCGUAUGCUUUUUUGCAGCCAAAGUUAUUAAUAUUUGCAGUUAGGGUUGUGGAGAAUGUGAAUCAAAAUAAUAAACAAGAAGAGAAAUAUUUUCGUGAAUUUGGGAGUUUGUACUGCUUGGGGUCGUGAACUCUGUUACUGCUACUUGACAAUCCAGAAGGCUCCUUGUGCACACAGGAUUCAGGCUGCUUCCCCAACAGUCCCCAGGGAUGUGUGUGGCUGCGGUCUACACCCAGAGAAGCUGACUGGUCCCAGAUCUCAGGUCAGUAAGUUGCAAGAACCCAGGAAAAAACUAUGAUCAGCCAUGCUUCUGCAAAGGAACAGAUCUCCAGAUUCCCACUUCUAUGGUUAGGAUGCACUCUAAAUUCAAAAUUACCUAACAGAAUGGAGGAUGUGAAAGGUAAAGAUGAACUAAAACACCACUCUUUAGAAUCGGAAUCUUGGGGGAAAUCCCACAACUAGACAUACUUGAACUUGUCCCUUUUUGUUGGUUGGUUUCAAAUGUUUAAAAUCUUCUUGAAGUUUGACUUGAUAGCAAUUUCAGCCUGGUCUGACCUCCAAUACCUGUUGGGUGACAUCGUGUGGCACCGCCUGGCAUUUUUACACAAGGAGAGCCUUCGGAAAUCUAAAGAUUUUAGAAGCAGCAGCUCCUUCUUAAGGCUGGUAGAUAAAUUAGUUGAGACUUUGCCGCAUCGUAGGGGAGCUUAUGACUCUGCCUUAGGCUUGCGGGAGGGAAUGAACAUGCCCGGCAACUUGACCAGGAAGGAAUCCUCCUCCCCCCUCACAGACAGGCAGUGAGUAUCGACCUCUGCGCCAAAUCUGCUCUACUUCCGUGCACCCAGGGAAAAUUUGCAGUCUGCAGGGCUGCUAGGCGGGUACAAGGAUGUUCGCAUACGAACAGGCAAGACCUCAUGUCCCGCGGGGGGUCUGGGGACUCUGCGAGAGCUUUAGCAGUUCUGCAGCACCAGCCUAGACUGGUUCAGAAACUGAUAUGGUUUAGAGCUCUGGUUAUAUGGAGGUAACAUACAACUCCCUCUUGUUCCUACCAACUCCUUCAGCUGCCACACAUCUUCCCAGUUCUCACAUAGGUUCAAUGCCAUCUCUCCCUUUCCACCUGCUGAACUUGGCUGUGACCAUGUGGCCUCAGCUGCUGCGGAUCCCCUGGGCGUGCCAGGGGUAGCAACUCAGUGGGCAGGGGGCCUGUCCGCAGCUCUGGCGGCUCCCCGCAGGCCCCACUCAUGCCGGCGGUUGCAGGUACUGGGUGCUCUUGGCAUUCUCAAGAGCGCAGGAAGAGUCAAUUUUAGGUGUUUUGGGCCACUAAGUAUCCGCGGCAAGCCGAAGACCCCGCUCUGGGAGCAAGAGAAGCCGAAGCUGCAGACAGGGUCAGCGGGAUCCCAGCAGAAGAGGGUGAUGCUGAAGCCUUCCCGGGGCGCGGACCGAGUGCUAGGGCGAGGUAGUCAGCGACCCGCUGAGACCGACCGAGAGACGACGGAUCUGAGGCAGAGAAAGAGGAUGAAGGAAGGAAAAGAGAGAACACUAAGGUCUGGUCAGUCCCGAUGAAUGUAAGGAUGCAGGACCUAGAACAAGAACAAGGGUCAGCUGGAGUCUGCCGCCUGGUUACACUGCUCACUCUGGACUCAGAAGAUCUCAAAGAGAUCGGAAGAAUUUCGACUAAAAGGAGAAAUUUAAGACCAAAACCAAAACACCAGUAAGGCCUGCAGCUGGCUCAGGCCAGGGAGAAGCCAAAAAGCCUUUCCCUAGCCGCGUCGAGGCCUCCUCCGAGGGGCGACUCGCUCUCUGGAUAAAUAUUUACUCAGUGGGAGACUGGAAGCCGGGCCGAGAGUGUGAAGGAGGGGGCUACACUGGGUGGGAGGAACCAGUACACUCGGCGCUGGCCGGAUCCUUGUGUACACCCGCCCAAGGGGAGCAGGGGCCGGGGACUCUGGGGGCGACUCGGCCCAGGCGUGUGGCUGGGGAAGCUUUAGACCCCAGCAUCGGAUCGACCGGACUCCGCCCUGCCCUCGCGGACCCCAGCCAGAUGCUGUGAAGUCUCCAUAAAUCUGUCAGCCGUCCCAGUGCCGCGGGCAGUCACCUGCGGCGCCCCCUUCCCGGCGCUAGAGCGGCCCGCGGAGAGACGCGGAGAAGCAACGGGAAUCUAGCCCGGCAGACUGUACCCGAGGGCUGCCGAAGUCAGACCCAAGCACUACAGGUUGUGCGGAACGCGAGGACCCCUCCCUGUAUCCCCAACCUGGACCGACCCCCGGAAGCCUGCUCCUCCGGGUCUACAGGAGCAGCUCACGCUGGAGCCCCCAAAGAAGCCCCCAUACCUCAGGUGUCUACACUGAAAGUGGACACUCUUCUACCCACCUCCACACUUUAGAAGACAGAAUGCCGCCCAAGGCCGGACCCAGAACCCGCAGCAAAGAGGAUCUGCAACCUUGUCCUCCUCACUGCUGGCCAAGAGUCCACGCCGCGGAGGUCGCAGCUGACUAGGUGAGGGCGGGAGACUGCCUGCUCGUCUCCUCCUGGCCCCGGCUAUCCAGGGCGUCGAGGUGAGGUCCGCAGCCACUCGGGCGGUGCACAACAUGUUCCAGGAGUCCCGCGGCCGAGCGGCGCACAGAGGAGCAAGGAGAGGACCGGAAGAACCGUGCUCUUGGCUGCAAUUUGUUUCCAAGAGUGCCAAGACAUGCCCGAGACUCUCAGCGCGCUCUCAGAGCAUCAACUCAAGCACCGAAAAAAUCUACCUUUGCCUUCCCGGGGAUUCAUUCUGGGGUAUGCCUGUGUGUGUUUCUUUUUAAGACCACUAUAGUGGGAACAAACCAGGAGGUGCCGAGUUGCAAUAAAAUUAGAACCCAUAAUUAACACAGCUAGCUGGGCCCAAGUGGCUCGGAAGUGCACGUAGUGGAGUCAGUUGGCCUUCCUCCGCGGAGUCCGGGCUACAGUUGCGUUUUCUUUCUUUGGAAUGCAUCUUGGAGUCAGGAUCAACUCCUUUCAUUCCCUGCAAACAGCGAAUAAAUAAAUCAUUUCAUUUAUAAAAAACGAUAACGAUAAAGAGAUUUCAGCGCACCCUGCGAGAGGUGGUAGUCAGGAGAAGAGAAAGCCCAAAGGUUGUUAGGUGCAGGGGUCACUUUUACUGCCUUGGGAAAAUGCAUUUUAGCCGCGGAAUUCGUUCCGUGGGGAUUGGGGGUGCGCCUCCGAGGCGGGCCCGAGGGCCAGAACUGCGAAAUCCCAAGUUAGUGUUUUCAGGUUUCGGACAAAAACUGCGAUCCAUACGAGGACCUUACUGUUCGCAUCUUGGCGGGGAUCACGAAAGCUCUACAGGCCAGCAGGAACCUUGCGGCUAGCGGGGGCAUUCCUGCAACCUCCUGCGCAGGGAUCCUACGCCUCAGGUCUUCUUACUGGCUGGGGUUGGCCCUCCCGGGAACUGGGCAGGCUCUAAUAGGCCCCUCUACCUGCAGGCUGUUUGCUCCAAGAGGCGGAUUUGUGGGGUCCAGGGCGAACCCUUUCCUCUUCCCUUUGCCAGUCAGUGCUCCUCCUGCCUAAAAAUUUUACCCUCACCAGGACCAACGAAAGAGCUGACCUCUUACCUCCUCCACAGCGGCUGUGGCUUUCUAGACAAGCUGCGUGUCUGAGCCACUGGGAGAACAGAGUAUAACCACCUCUCCAUGGACACGAUUGGAAGGCAGUUCUAGGAAAAUUGUUAAAGGACCCAACAAUGUUUUCAAUGGACACACAGAGGCUAAGGAAGAGAAAUGUAAAAAUGAAAUAAAUAUAAUUUCAAAAGUGUUUAACUCUUUAAUAAGCCAGGAGGGGUAAAACACAGUACCAUCUUUGCAGAGUAAACCAAUUUUGCCAGCAGGUACAAACUGUUGUGUUUUUUUCUAACGAGAGAGGGGGGGAAAAGGCUGCUUGCAUAUGAUUCACAUUUUUCAUCAAUAAAAUGUUUUUAAAUUAAUAUGAAUUAGCCCAUUUUUUUUGGUGGGGGCGGGAAUCAAGCAAGUGUUGCUGGUUUUCUUCAACAGAUGCACUGUCCUUUGCACAGAGGUAAAAAAUAAUUUGUAAAGUGUUGUUUAUUCAGUGAAGCUACCUACACAUUUUUAAAUCUUAAAGAUGUUUAAGUUCAUAAUGUCAUUGCGUAAUCCAUUUUGGUAGUGCAUUUAAUAAAAAUCAUAUUACUGGCAGGACAUUUAAUAAAAAUCAGACUAAUUAGCAAGGAAGGGCAUAGUAGACAAAAAGGACAAAGAAAUCUCUUGAGCAGAAAAUUUAGAAAAAUAAAGAAGGGUUUUUAGACAAUACUAAUCCUUCGUGUAUUGUUCCAAUUCCUACAGUUCUGUUUACUGCAGUUCUUACGCAUUAAAGUGCUACAGUUUGGGUUCUGUUUCUAUGCCAUAUUCAGACUGUAAAUUUAAUGGCUGCAGGGGGGAGAGGAAGGAUUGCAAAACCAGAGAUUAGCACCAGAAAUGCUGGACCAGUGUCCUAUGCAUGAUGCAGCCAUACCACUGAGGCUACCAUUCUUGUCAGACUCCUAGGGUGGAUAUAGAGGAUUGGGGAAGAAGGCUAGUUCUAUUUCCUGCAGGAUCAAAAUGCCAGCCCAAUACAUUGGCUGACCAGUGAGCCACUCCUUAGAAGGAUAGAAAACCAAGGUCAUGGCCACAGGGGACCUUUGAAAAGCCCCAUAUCACCUUCCUGCAGGACCAGAGGUGUGAAUCUGAUGUUCUGGCAAGCUGACAACACAGAUUCCCUUAGCAGUUUUUAUUGCCUGAGUGAUUCAUAUUCAAUUCCUCUGGGAUUGAGUUCUGCCCUGCCACAUGUUUCCAUUCUUGGAGACACCCCUUUCACUAGGAAAAGAAAUAAUGAUCCCAUUACUCCAUGUAAAAAACCUUCAUAAUGCCAGUUUAAGGCUAAAAAUUAAAUCCCUGAAAGUCAGAACAUAGAAAAGUCAAAAUUCUUUUAGUCUGUCCAAAUCACCCUGCUUCCCAGGCUGUAUAAUGCAUGGUACAUUUACAAGCCUCCCCAGCAAAGCCAACAACCAGUUCCAGCAACCAGGCACUGCUGCUGCUGUGUUUUAAAGGGGAAAUGCUGGAGCACCACCUGACUGGGCAGAUUUUCCAUUUGCAGUUUGAAUGUUUCAUGCCAGUAGAUUUUAGCACUUUCUUGCUAGAUGAAAGUACUAUACUGCAUGCAUUGGCAAAUGGAUUUAAAACUUAAAGAAAGCAAAUUAACUUAUAGGUAACCAAAAGCAAUUCAAAACAAGAGAGAGACACCGUAAAUACCUCGAAGAUUUUCCAGGUACCUAAAACUCUCUAAAUCCAGCUGUAGCAUUCUAGAUCAGUGCUAUACAUUUCUCCAACUCUGAUACAAAAUGAAGUUCUUCAAUGGUAAUUGAUGUAAGUAGGUAUAUUUUCUUCAACCCUUCCCCAAUUUUUAUUUUAGAAUUUAACAUUUAUCCAUCCAGUUUUCCCAAGAGGAAAAAAUACAGUCAGUAGAAAGAUGUGUUAUUUAAAUUGUAUUCUGAAAAUUCAGACAUAGCUCAUAUAAGGAUUAUAACUUCCAGAAAAAGUCUUCCCUACCUCUUCUUUCAAUUUUAAAGUAGCUAAAAGUAUGAGUUUUCUUUUACAACCAGACUUAUCUAUAAUAUUUUGGCUGUGAAACAAAAUUACUUAAGACUUUCUGUUUCUCUUACAUCAAAGCGUAUAUAUAUAUACACACACAUAUACACACACACACAGAAAACAGAGGGUUAACCUGGUAGAGUUGUGUGUAAGUUGAGCCAUGGCUUCUGGCCACAACAUGCACAUGAUCUGUGUGUUUCAUCAUGUAACUGCUAAGGCACAUGAGGGUUUUGGGGGAUAAAGGUAUUAGGUACAUAGGAGACAUCAUUAUUUCUAUUAGAGCAAUUAGUCUCAUGGAGAAAUAUAUACCCUUAGGGCAAAAUAUACAUUGAGUUUUGUAAAAGGAAUGAAUAACAUACACUUGGAUAUCACUACAUAAAAGCUGCACUUUUUUUCCUCUAUAGGAACAUUUUUUGUGUCAAUAAAAAUGAUGAAGGCAAAGCUAGGCAGCCUGGACGUGUCACCAGAACUCAAGGCAUAAUUUGGGAUUUCACAACUCUAUCACCCAGCUGUCCAAAAAAAAUCCCAAACAUAUAUUUUAAAGCCCUCCUGAAGACAUGCUUCUCAUUAUACAGCUAAGCCUCAAUUAACCAGAUAACUCAGGAAAGUAUUUGAAGGAGGACAUGGUGUCUCGUGAACAUUUUCUAAUGUCUUUGAACAAAACAGAAUAUAAGAAAAGGAAGUGUGUGCAUGAUGUACUGUCCCUUAUGAUUUUUUGACAUGAAAAACACUUUAGAAAUCAACUCAGGUCAUUUCCAUGCCUUCCCCAGAAUAUAGUAUAAGAGGGGUAGUUCAGAAAGGUGAAUCCAAAUGGAUGCUUCUUUGAUAACCACAACUUUCUGGUAAAUAUAAUACUUAGGUAGAGCAGAAUGGGGAUCAUUAUAUAUUACUGUGACAACAGUGAAAAUCAAGAUAGAGAGUCUGAAUAGCUGGUUCUUGGGUGAAGAACAGUAUUUUGAGAAGGAAGAUGAAAAGGGGAGAGGGAAUUGUUUUUGUCAAAGAUUAAAGAGAAGACAUUUUUUCUCCCUUACCUUACUCCACUCCCACCACUCCAGGCAUCUAGGGAAACCCAAAUGAAUGCUGGGAUUAAUAGCAGAGGGAUAUAAACAUUGUAAAUUAAAUUCACUGCUAUUUUUGCUACAACAAAUAUUGCCAACAAGUUUGCAUAUAUAUGUGUGUCACAAUACAUUUAAUCAAUUCAUUUAUAAGAAAAAUUUGUCAACUUAUCUCUGAAGAUAACCCACAGUAUGAGAUUUUCAGAAACAUGUCAAGCUCAAAGGACUGAAUUUAGACCCCUUAUUUGCUUCUUAAGUCUGCUAAAGAUAUGUGUUCAGCCUAUGGGCUGCAUUGUAGGUCCAUAGGCCCUUUCUUCCCUGUCCUCCCUGGAAGUCAGUACUGACUUGGGGAAACACAAAGUCUUUAUUUUGAUGCAUAUUAUCACUUGUGUCUGAGAACCUGGCAUUAAGAAACGGUAAUGAAAAUUACUGCAAACUGUACCAGCCAACUAGAGAAAGUUAUGGACACUAGGAGAGUUUGCUUUUUAUAGUACUUUAUCCAAUACUUCUCUCUUCCCUUAGCUUCAUCCCUAUUCCUUUCUCUGAGAUUCUUUCUCUCUUUCUUUUUCUUUCUUUCUUUCUUUUUCUUUCUCUCUUUCUUUUUCUUUCUCUCUCUUUCUUCUCUCUCUCUCACCCCCCUCACACACACACACUCUGCACCCAUACACUCCCUAGAAGAAAGCAGCAUUUUACAUAAGAUUUUGGUUUUUAAAAUGUUGUUUUCUCAUUAAAAUUCCAUGAAAUACUUGAAAGCACACCAGGAAACUAAGCAUAACAUUACCAAGAAGAGUUCCAGCGAGGUCCUAAAGAGUUAGCUUUCUUCAUCUAGAUUCCUAAACCCAUCAUAAAUGCAUAUAUGCCUGGAUCAAUCUUGGAGCUUAUAUUUUAAACAAUCCGUGAAAAAGUAUAUCCAGACUUUUACAUGUUUUGGAGAAAUCACCAUGCAGCUAACACAAAGUCAACCUUUGCCAUCUGUACUUGCUCACAAAUCCCCAAAAGCAGGUAGAUUGGCCUUAGCUACACAGCAUUAAGGAAACACGAGCUUCAGCCAAUCCAAAGUGGAGUUUGGAGCGAUGAGAAGCCACUCAAAGUUAUCAGUGUUCUGUGGCUGUUCUCUGAUCCAUGGUUUAAGUCCACUCAUACAGUUGGACCAGAAAUGAUGAUUUUGACAAACUCCAGUUUAUCUCCUGGAGCUUUCUUGGAACAUCAGUUUGGGUUAUUUUCUGUAGUAUAGUUGUACGUGCCAAUCUCAGGGCAGCUGCCUUUCUUUAAGCUCAUGACUGAGGGUGGCAAGAGGUAGUGAUUAGUCAUCUAACCUCUCAAUAGCUGUAAAUACUAAUUGAAUAUUUUGAACAACUCUUCAGGUCACAUGACAACAUGUGGCCAUUUGCUUCUUAGACUUCUAUUGCAUAGCUCGGGGAGCAAAUAUUCUUUAAUAAUUGUUAAAUAUAUCUUACAAAUCUUCCAAAGAGGAAAAAGUCUCCAUCCAAAAUUAAACACAGGUUAUGUGCUAAAAAUGGGCAGUUGGAACUAAAACAUAGCUGUUAUUAUCUUUUCUACAAUAACAUUUACACACUAUUAACUUUUCUGCAAUAACGGAACAUUAAAGAAUAAAAUGUAAAUUUUACUGCUUUAUUUGCAGGGAUGAAGGUCAGAGUGUCAAAUUGCAGAUUUUGGAUCCUCAAUAAUGGGCCGCUGUAUUUAACCUCUUCAACUUCUUUUCUCCACUUAUAAGAAGGAACAAAAUAAAAUGUUUUGUGGAAGUUUAUAUUGAAAUGAGGUCAGGUAAACUAAUGACUGCUUGGUAUUUUAUGACAAGUUUUAUAACCUUGGAGUUGCCAUAACUUUCAAACGAUCAUCAAUAAAGUUUUAUUGCAAAAGGG